rnacentral:rRNA from 1 species
ACUGCAUGAAGUCGGAAUCGCUAGUAAUCGCGGAUCAGCAUGCCGCGGUGAAUACGUUCCCGGGCCUUGUACACACCGCCCGUCACACCAUGAGAGUCGGGAACACCCGAAGUCCGUAGCCUAACCGCAAGGGGGGCGCGGCCGAAGGUGGGUUCGAUAAUUGGGGUGAAGUCGUAACAAGGUAUC